rnacentral:rRNA from 1 species
GACGAACGCUGGCGGCGUGCUUAACACAUGCAAGUCGUACGGUAAGGCCCUUUCGGGGGUACACGAGUGGCGAACGGGUGAGUAACACGUGAGUAACCUGCCCACAACUUUGGGAUAACGCUAGGAAACUGGUGCUAAUACUGGAUAUGUGCUCCUGCUGCAUGGGGGGGGUUGGAAAGCUCCGGCGGUUGUGGAUGGACUCGCGGCCUAUCAGCUUGUUGGUGGGGUAGUGGCCUACCAAGGCGGCGACGGGUAGCCGGCCUGAGAGGGUGACCGGCCAUAUUGGGACUGAGAUACGGCCCAGACUCCUACGGGAGGCAGAAGUGGGGAAUAUUGAACAAUGGGCGCAAGCCUGAUGCAGCAACGCCGCGUGCGGGAUGACGGCCUUCGGGUUGUAAAACGAAUUCAGCAGGGACGAAGCUUUUUGUGACGGUACCUGCAGAAGAAGCACCGGCUAACUACGUG